AGAGUUUGAUCCUGGCUCAGGAUGAACGCUAGCUACAGGCCUAACACAUGCAAGUCGAGGGGCAGCAGAUCGAAAGCUUGCUUUGAUGCUGGCGACCGGCGAAUGGGUGAGUCACGCGUGUCCAACCUGCCCUGUGCCCGGGGAUAGCCCUUGGAAAUGAGGAUUAACACCCGAUAGGUGGCGCUUCCGCAUGGCGGCGCCAUGAAACCGACACAGGAUGGGGACGCGUCGGAUUAGCUUGACGGCGGGGCGACGGCCCACCGUGGCGACGAUCCGCAGGGGUUCUGAGAGGAAGGUCCCCCACACUGGCACUGAGACACGGGCCAGACUCCUACGGGAGGCAGCAGUGAGGAAUAUUGGUCAAUGGCCGAGAGGCUGAACCAGCCAAGUAGCCGUGCAGGACGACGGCCCUACGGGUUGUAAACUGCUUUUGCGGGAGGAUAAAGGACGCCACGUGUGGCGUUUUGCAGGUAUCCCGUGAAUAAGGACCGGCUAAUUCCGUGCCAGCAGCAGC
rnacentral:rRNA from 1 species